rnacentral:rRNA from 1 species
GAUGUGGCGCAUGCCACGCCUUUGAAAGAUGGUUUCGGCUAUCGCUUACAGAUGGGCCCGCGGUGCAUUAGCUAGUUGGUAGGGUAAUGGCCUACCAAGGCAACGAUGCAUAGCCGACCUGAGAGGGUGAUCGGCCACACUGGGACUGAGACACGGCCCAGACUCCUACGGGAGGCAGCAGUAGGGAAUCUUCCGCAAUGGACGAAAGUCUGACGGAGCAACGCCGCGUGUAUGAAGAAGGUUUUCGGAUCGUAAAGUACUGUUGUUAGAGAAGAACAAGGAUAAGAGUAACUGCUUGUCCCUUGACGGUAUCUAACCAGAAAGCCACGGCUAACUACGUGCCAGCAGCCGCGGUAAUACGUAGGUGGCAAGCGUUGUCCGGAUUUAUUGGGCGUAAAGCGCGCGCAGGCGGUCUUUUAAGUCUGAUGUGAAA